AAAGAUGUCAAAGAGAUACCCAGAACACCCACUGUUUGAGCUCUUCCCAUUCUCAUUAAAAUAAACUCUUAUGGCCCAGCUAGUGUUAAUCAUGUGAUAAAAUACUCAAAUUAAGAGCAUUUAAUAAAAAAACAUGGUGGGGAGCUUUUGUUAAGGAUCUCUUUAGUGUAUUUUUGCAUUUGAGCUAAGGACAUAAGAAAUAAUUUAAUCAUUGCCUGAUUAUAAGAAUGUUAGAAAUAAUGGGAUCAUCGCCUUCUCACACGUGGGCUAAUUCAGAGGCUCAUUAUUUAUUUGUCAAGCAUUAGGCAUCAAAUCAAUUUGGCUGGAUACUUGAAAGCAGGAAAUUGAAGAUGAAAGUUGAAAUGAAGAUUAAGAAAUGGGAGAGCUUUUAAACCUAUUUGUUAGCUGUUUUACACCUGACGUGUGAAAGGCAGAGGAGUCUCUGCUUUGCUUCUAAAGCUCCUGACUUGUUCAGUAGUUGGGCAGAAUUCGGUGUAUUGCCUCUUAGUGAGCGUUGUGAGCGUGCAGCGUGCCUCCCAUGUGUAAUCGGAUGGGCUGAAGCUCAAAUGAGCCACCACAGAGCCCUGCCGCUGCUGGACAGCCAGGUAUACCUCCCUUGUGAUGAAGAAGUUGGGAUGCUGAUGUCAUAACGAAGCUGCUACAGCUGGUUAAAAUCUUGGUUUGCUGUAUGUCUUCUGUCCACAGACAGAAGCGCAUUAUUUAACAACAAAAAGAAGAGGGGACUUGCUAGGUCUGCAGCUGGCCGUUGGAGAAUAAACUGGUGUUGCUCUGCUUUCUCUUAAUGACC
rnacentral:lncRNA from 1 species